UACGUAGGGGGCAAGCGUUGUCCGGAAUCAUUGGGCGUAAAGAGCGCGUAGGCGGUCCGGUAAGUCCGCUCUGAAAGUCCGGGGCUCAACCCCGGGAGGCGGGCGGAUACUGCUGGGCUAGAGUCCGGAAGAGGCGAGUGGAAUUCCCGGUGUAGUGGUGGAAUGCGUAGAGAUCGGGAGGAACACCAGUGGCGAAGGCGGUGGCCUGGACCGAUGCUGACGCUGAGGCGCGAAAGCGUGGGGAGCGAUCCGG
rnacentral:rRNA from 1 species